ensembl:lncRNA
UAAAGAGGCUAUCUUUCCUCCAGUGAGGGUGUUUGGCUCCUUUAUCGAAGAUGAGAUGGCUGAGUGUGUCUGGCGUUGUUUCUGCAUCUUCUAAUCUGUUCCACUGGUCCUCAAGUCUGUUUCUUUGCCAGUACCAUGCUGUUUUUAUCACAGUAGCUUUGUACUAUAGUUUCAAGUUGGGGAUAGUGAUAUCCCCUGCCAUGUCUCUGUCACGUAGAAUUGCUUUUGCUAUUCUGGGGCUCUUCUUGUUCCAAAUGAAUUUUUGGAUUGUUUUCUCAAGGUCUGUGAAGUAUGCUGCUGGGAUCUCAAUUGGAAUUGCAUUGAAUCUAUAUAGCAGUUUUGGAAGUAUGGCCUUUUUCACUAUAUUAAUCCUUCCUACCCAGGAGCAGGGGAUGUCUGUCCGUUUUCUGAUAUCAUCUUCAAUCUCUCUUUUCAGAGUGCUAUAGUUUUCAGAGAAGAGGUCUUUGAUUUCUUUCAUUAGGUUGAUUCCUAGGUAUUUCAGUUUUUUGGAUGCUAUUGUGAAAGGAAUUAUUUGCCCUAUUUCUCUCUCAGUGAGUCUGUCAUUGGUGUAGAGGAAAGCUAUUGAUUUUUGUGUGUUGACUUUGUAACCAGAUACUUGACUGAAUUUGGUUUUUAAGUCUAGAAGACUUUUGGUGGAGUUCUUGGGGUGUUCUAUAUAGAGUAUCAUGUCAUCUGCAAAUAAUGACAAUUUGACUUCUUCAUUUCCUAUCUUUAUUCCUUUUAUUUCUUUCUUUUGUCUAAUUGCUGUGGCUAAUUUUCCAAAACUACAUUGAACAAAGAGUGGUGAUACUGGACAUCCUUGUCUUGUUCCUGUUCCUGAUUUUAGUGUGAAGGAUUUCAGUUUCUGACCAUUUAGUAUGACAAUGGCUGUUGGUUUUUCAUGGAUGGCUUUUAUCAGUUUGAGGUAGAGACCAUCUAUUCCAAUUUUUUUGUAGGGUUUUUAUCAUAAAUGCAUGUUGGAUUUUGUCAAAUGCUUUUUCUGCAUCUAUGGAGAUAAUCACAUGGUUUUUGUCCUUGGCUGUAUUGAUAUAGUGUAUUACAUGGAUUGAUUUGCAUGUGAUGAAUCAUUCCUGCAUCCCUGGGAUGAAUCCCACUUGGUCAGGGUGUAUGAUCUUCUUGAUGAUCUUCUGCAUUCUAUUUGGCAGUAUCUUAUGAAGCAUUUUUGCAUCUAUGUUCAUUAGUGAGAUUGGCCUAUAAUUCAUUUCAGUUGGGUCUUUGCUUUGUGGACCAAGGUGAUGCUUGCAUCCAGGAAUGAAUUGGGGAAUAUUGCUUCCCUUUCAAUUUUACUAAAGAGUUUAAACAGUAGUGGCAGUAGUUCCUCCCAAAAUGUCUUGUAGAAUUCAGCAGUGAAGCCAUCAGGACCCGGGCUUUUCUUAGUUGAUAAGUUUUUAAUUACAUUUCCAAUUUUAUUGGUUGAUAUUGGGUUGUUUAGAAUUUUUAGGUCUUCUUCGUUCAACUUUGAUAAUUCAUGUGUAUCUAGGAAUCUGUCCAUUUCUUCUGUGUUUUCCAUCUUAUUGGCAUAUAGGUUCUAGAAGUAGGUAUUGAUGAUCCGCUGGAUUUCUUCUGGGUCUGUAGUAAUUUCACCCUUCUCAUUCCUAAUUGCAUGGAUUUGGGCCUUUUCUUUCCUUUAUCUGAUAAGGUUGGCUAAGAGUUUGUCAAUUUUGUUGAUUCUUUCAAAGAACCAACUCUUGGCUUCAUUAAUUUUUUGUAUCAUUUCUUAGUCUCCAUUGCAUUGAUUUCUCCUCUGAUCUUUAUAAUUUCUUCCCUUGUAUGAGCUUUGGGGUUGUCUUGCUCUUCUUUUUCUAGAAGCUUGAGGUUCAGCAUCAGGUUGUUUAAUUGGGC